AUACGGAGGGUGCAAGCGUUACUCGGAAUCACUGGGCGUAAAGCGCGCGCAGGCGGGCUGAUAAGUUGGAUGUGAAAGCCUACGGCUCAACCGUAGAACUGCAUCCAAAACUAUUAGACUAGAGUGUGGGAGAGGAAGAUGGAAUUAGUUGUGUAGGGGUAAAAUCCGUAGAGAUAACUAGGAAUACCAAAAGCGAAGGCAAUCUUCCGGAACACUACUGACGCUGAGGCGCGAAAGCGUGGGGAGCAAACAGGAUUAGAAACCCCAGUAGUCC
rnacentral:rRNA from 1 species